AGUGAACGCUGGCGGCGUGCCUAAUACAUGCAAGUCGAACGGAGUGGCGCACGGGGGAGUAAUGUAUAGCUAAUCUGCCCUACACUAGAGGAAAACAGUUGGAAACGGCUGCUAAUACUCUAUAGUGUAGGAUGAGGCUCUAUUGUAUCAGCUAGUUGGUGAGGUAAUGGCUCUCCAAGGCUAUGACGCAUAACUGGUCUGAGAGGAUGAGCAGUAACACUGGAACUGAGGCACGGGUCAGACUCCUACGGGAGGCAGCAGUAGGGAAUAUUGCUCAAUGGGGGAAACCCUGAAGCAGCAUCGCCGCGUGGAGUAUGACACGUUGGGGAGCGUAAACUCCUUUUGUUAGGGAAGCGGUACCUAACGAAUAAGCACCGGCUAACUCCGUGCCAGCAGCCGCGGUAAUUC
rnacentral:rRNA from 1 species